GCUGCACAGUUCUAAUGGCAGUGAGGACUCCAGCUCCCCACCAUGUCCAGUGGCUGAGCUCAGCUGCAGAGAGACAGGAUAAAACCCUCCUUGUGACCUCUGGUGGUGUGGGAAAAGUGAAGGAAAUUUUCCUCUGGGUUGAACAAGAAAGUCACAAAGUCUCUUUGGUCACCAUCUGUUUCAGUGCCACCAGCACAGAGCUCUUACUAUGGUGGCAGGCACUUUCAUGGAGACUCCAAGGCCUCUUUCCAUUGUUAUUGCUGUCUAUUUUAGAUGGAUUCUGCUUCUGCAUUUUUUAAAAGAGGAGAAAAAAAAACCUUGAUGAUUUUUGUUUUAUGGCAGCUGUGCUUAAGGGACCAACAAGCACUGCAGAGAUUAUUUUCAUGUAAUAAUCCUUGGAAAUAGUAUAGAUAGAGCAAACCUCCCCUUCCAAAUUGCCUGUCAGGUGUGUGUGAAUCCUCAGAGAAACAAAACAUGCUUUUGUUGAUGUAGUUCCCACUGAGUAGGUCAGUCAAUGAAAUCAGCUGCCAAGGCAAGAUCUGCUGAAUGUUGGAAAAGCUGUGGCUGCAUUGGGGUUUGGGUGUUUGGUUGGUAAAGGAAAGGCAUCUCUGGGUCUCUGCCUGGGCAGAAACUGCCACUGAAGAACAGGGGUUAAACAGUGGGAUCUGGGAGAGCAGUUACAGAUGUGAAAGCAGCAGGUGGAGACUCGUGUUUCCUUUUCCCCAGCCUCGACUCGUGAUAGCCAGACGAGGGAUACCAAAGCUGCUGCAGCCCAACCUGUUUUCACCUUGGCUGUGUGACUUCCUGAGCUGCUGCCUGCAGACAGACAAGGAGCAGCGCUGGUCUGCCAAGGAGCUCCUGCAGCAUCCAUUUGUAAGAUUUGCUGAGCCUGCAUCCAGCCUGGUGCCACUGAUUGUUUCAGUGAAGAAGAGGAAUGACCAAAGAAACUGAAAAUCACAUCAGGACCAUUUACUUCUCAACCGGCACAGGGCAGGAUUGUAGGUUCGGACAAGGGUUAGGGUUAGGGUUAGAGUUGGGGUUAGGGUUAGGGUUGGG